CCCAUUUGGCCUGCCAUCCCUAGCAAUUUGAGUCACAGUGGAGGGGCGAUGAGAAAGAAUGUAUAUUUCAAUUCACAAGUUGCCUCCACUGGCCCAGACGUAACCCAGCGGAGCAUAAUUGAAAUGUUACUACCUUAACAAUAGGAAGUUGCUACUCCCAAGAGUAGGAUGGUUGCUCACAUUCCCCACCAAAUCUCCCAGAGGUGCUACAUCACUGACCUUUGAGUUUCUUUUCUCCUGCUUGUUGGGAAGAAAGCAUGAGGACUGGCUGUUUGCAGAGCAGGUGCAUUCACUGGAUUUCAUUUAGUCUCACGCGCCCCCUGCUGCCUAAAUCACAAACUGAGCCAGAGCUGGGUCAGUUUGAUGUGUGUUUGGGGUUAUAGGGAGUUUUCGGUUUGUGAUUCAUCUUGUGAUUUGGUUUGUGAUUCAUGGCUUAGGGGAUUUUUUAUCGUUCCGGAGUCUGCGCGUUCAUAGAAUUUACUCAACACAACUAGAUCAUUGCUCUCUCUAGUCCUGCAUCCUGCCUUUACCAGUAGCCAAUAUGUGAUACUUCUGUGAAAGGCAAUCCCCACCCUCAACAUGAUGCAUGUGGCCAGUGAGUUAGUUCCUUCCUGACUCCUGCAGUAAUCACUUUGUGCCCAGGUGCUUGAGAGUUGAUGAGCUAUGUCUAACAUGUAUAAUAUAACUACCAGUGUUAUUGUUGCUCACUAGCUAGCCAGCCCUUCUAAACUCCAGUAACACCAUCAGGGUGAGUUCUAUAGCAUGACUACAUGCUGGGGGAGACAUAUUUCCUUUAGUUUGUUUUAUUUUAAUCAGCCACUAACUUCAUGGACUGACACCUUGUAGAAUUGCAGAGUGUCAAAUAGCCAUCAAUCCUUUGCCUUAGAGAGCACCUUCCAUCAGAAAAUUGAAAAGUGCACAGGAACUACUUCCAAACAAGGAAAGUUCCUGACUCCCACUGAUUUCCUGGGAGUUCUGUUUGACCAUGGAUCACAGCGUUUGGCCCAGCUAGAGCAAUGCAGGUGGAUCUAAGCAAUGUCAGGAAUCCUAGGCAUGUUGUCUCCCCUACCACUAUAAUUCCAUGUACUGCACCACUCAUCUCAGAUUCCAAAUGCUGGCAUGAUAUGAAUUACACACAUUGCAUAAUACAUUCUGCCCCUUGGUAUGUCAGUUACACUUACCUACACCAGUGUAUAAUUUACAAGCCCAAUUACCUGGCCACUGAACUGGUGCCAAGAACCUUUUAAUUAGACUUAAAUUGCCAUUUACUGAGUUGCUGGUGAAGCAAGGAAAGUUUCUCAUCAGCCCUUUUUUAGGCCCACAAUCACACUAAGAUAUUGGUAUGCAAACUCAAUGGGAAUUGCAUCUCUUGGGAUGAAUGGGUCUGAAAAGCUUUUUAAGAUACCAGGGCUCCAUUUUCUCCUCUCAGGAAUGUUUCUGAGACACAGUGCAGGCGAAGACGUAGUAUAGUCCGUGCAGCCACGCUCAGCCUUCUCCUUGCAUCACAGGAAAUGAAACAGGAGCCAACUACAUCCAGAGAAUCAUCUUUAACCCUCAAACAAUUGGUGCUGGAAUCAUACUCUUCCCCUUGCAGGCAAAUCCAGGAGGGACAUUUAGUGACAGCGGGAGGCAGUGCUGUGUGAAGGGAGAAGGAAUUGCCAAUGCAACAUCAGGGAGCCCAGGCAGCUCUUUCUCAUCUGCCCAUGUUGGAGGCAAGAGGGAACACUGGCUGUUAUUUAUCCUUUUCUACGGGGAAGGUCCUGGACUGAGCUCUGAAAGGAAGGAGCAGCCAUGGGGUGGACACUGACUGUUGCAUUGAUGCUCAUUGGAAAGAAGCGAGGAAUGCUUAGCUCUUCUCUAGCAUGCUCCACUCAGAAAGCCUGAGUGCUGGACACAGGAGGCCACUGUCAUUAUUUGAAGGUAACAGACUUCAGACAUAUAAAAGGCUGUUCUAAAGAAGAUGCUAAUCGAUUGUUCUCCAGGGCCACUGAAGGCAAGAUAAGAG